UCAUGAUGGAAGGCAAAGAGGAAGCAAGGAACUUUCUUCACAAGGCAGCAGGAAGGAGAAGUGCCGAAGGGGGAAAAGCCCCUUAUAAAACCAUCAGAUCUUGUGAGAACUCACUCACUAUCACAAGAACAGCAUGGGGGAAACUGCCCCCAUGACUCAAUUACCUCCACCUGGUCUCUCCCUUGACAUNNNNNNNNNNACGUCUGGGGAGAAGGAAAAAAUGACAGGGCAAAUCUUGAAUCAAUUGGGUUUAAGUCCGGAAAUGACUAUGCUUAAAACCAUAAAUGUCUGCCAAGUUUGGGUUUUUCUGCUGUGAGCAAAAAUGAAGACUUGUGUGCUAAGGUGGGUUCAAUUACAGGAAAAAAAGAUUUGUCUUAUACUGCCUUUUUUCUUUUUUUGGCUAACCACUUUAUUGAGAUACAAUUUACAAACUAUACAAUUUGCCAUCAAAUGUUAACGGAAUUUAGAGUUGUAUAACCUUUACUAUAAUCAAUUUUAGAACAUGAUCAUCAUCCCCAAAAGAAACCCCAUACCUUUAACAGUCACUCCUAAUUCCUCUGAUUGCUUCUUUCCCCAAGGCUCGGCAACCAUUAGUCUACUUUUUGUCUCUAUAAAUUUCCCUGUUCUGGACACUUUGUAUAAAUGGUACCAUGCAGAGUGGUCCUUUGCAUCUGUCUUCCUUCAAUUACCAUAAUGUUUUCAAGGUUUAGCUCUAUUGUAGCAUAUAUCAGUCCUUCAUUCCUUUUGAUGGUCAAAUAUUCAAUUGUGCAAGCAUACCACAGCUCAUCUACUUACCAAUUGUUUCCCUUUUUUUAUUAUUAUGGGGUGUUGUUAUUUGGGUUGUUUCUACUUAAUGACAUUGUGGUUAUUAUUAAUAAUUCUUCAACAAAUAUUCAUGUACAAGUUUUUGUGUGGACAUAUGUUCCAUUUCUUUUUUUCUUUUUUUUUUGAGACGGAGUCUCGCUCUGUCGCCCAGGCUGGAGUGCAGUGGCGUGGUCUCAGCUCACUGUAAGCCCUGCCUCCCGGGUUCACACCAUUCUCCUGCCUCAGCCUCCCAAGUAGCUAGGACUACAGGCACCCGCCACCACGCCCAGCUAAUUUUUUGUAUUUUUAGUAGAGACAGGGUUUCACCGUGUUAGCCAGGAUGACCUCAUGAUCCUCCUGCCUCAGCCUCCCAAAGUGCUGGGAUUACAGGUGUGAGUCACCGCGCCCAGCCUCCAUUUCUUAUUUGUAUUUUUUUGCCCUAGGAUAUAGAUCCUGAAUGUUUCAUUUCUUUUGGAUACAUACCUAGGGGUGGAAUUUCUGGGUCAUAUAAUAGAUCUAAUCUAACGUUUUGAGGAACCGCUAGGGUGUUUUCUAAAGUGUCUGUACCAUUUUACAUUCCCAUCAGCAGCAUGAAGGUUCCAAUUUCUCCACAUCCUCAUCAACAUUUGUCACUAUCUCUUUCACUAAUGCCAUCCCAGUGAGCCUAAACUUGUAUCUUAUUGUGGUUUUGACUUGCAUUUUUUAAUGACUAAUGGAAAGCAUCCCUUCGUGUGCUUAUUGGCCAUUUGCAUAUCUUGCUGAUA
rnacentral:lncRNA from 1 species